CAAUAGCGUAUAUUAAAGUUGUUGCGGUUAAAAAGCUCGUAGUUGGAUUUCUGCCGAGGACGACCGGUCCGCCCUCUGGGUGAGUAUCUGGCUCGGCCUGGGCAUCUUCUUGGAGAACGUAGCUGCACUUGACUGUGUGGUGCGGUAUCCAGGACUUUUACUUUGAGGAAAUUAGAGUGUUUCAAGCAGGCACACGCCUUGAAUACAUUAGCAUGGAAUAAUAAGAUAGGACCUCGGUUCUAUUUUGUUGGUUUCUAGAGCUGAGGUAAUGAUUAAUAGGGAUAGUUGGGGGCAUUCGUAUUUAACUGUCAGAGGUGAAAUUCUUGGAUUUGUUAAAGACGGGCUACUGCGAAAGCAUUUGCCAAGGAUGUUUUCAUUAA
rnacentral:rRNA from 1 species